GGAAGAUAGAAACCGCCCUGGGCGUGGAGAUUCGCUGUGUACUAUGCAGUUAGAAGUUUAUAAGACAGAAAGCUGAAUGUUACAGCUGUCGAGAGCUUUGCCGGCAUUGUACCUGUGGUGCAUUCUACAAACCUCACUGGGGGCUUAGUCAUGAAGAAGGCAAAAUGAACCGCAAGCCUCUCACCAUACCUGCGCUUACUGCAUCUACCCUGCCAGAGAUUUGGGAUGUCAGCAAGAAGAAAACCCCAGAUCAUUCUUUAUGGACCCAUGCACAGAACUGGCAGUGCUGUGUGGACCUUAUCCUAGGUGGUGUCCAUCCUCCCCAUCCCUGGGUACCUGGGAUCGAUGUUGUCCACACUCAGACGUUUCUCACAGCACCUGAUGGAUGGGGGAUCCGAGCCAAGCAGCCAUCUUCCUGAGUUUGUCAAUGAGAGGCGUCAAAAAGCAGACUCAAUCCAAAAGAGGACACCUUGGAAGGGCCACCAGCCUCUGUCCAGGAGCCCCCUGUCCAGGAGCCCUCAGGAGUGAGGACUGGAGCCUUGGCCUUCGGACCCCUGAGGCAGGCUGCAGCAAGCCCUUCUGGAGAGCAACUCACAGACCUUUGCCUCUAAUUGGCCUCCAUCUCUGCACUCAGCCAUUUCCGCUGCCUGCGGCACAACUCAUAAAAAGCCAGGCUUUCUUCCAUACCUUUGAAAAGUUCAAAGGAACCCAUAUCCUAGGGAGAUCUGGCAACACAGGCACCUGGAUCUGAAGGGACUGAGGGCUCUGGCGCCCCCUCCCCCUGCUUUUUACUGCCUGUCUGUGUCAGUGUCCCAUGCUCCCGGGGAAGGGAGGCUCAAACCCACCAAGGCCAGCUCCGCUCUGUUUUAUGGGAUCAGGCUGUGCUCUUUAACCCUGUCCUGCAUUUUGCAGCAGGAGCCCUCAUGGCCACGAAGCAGGUCACGAAACAGAUGUCAACCCCAUCCUAAAGCAAGCGUGUGAUGAAGCCAGAUUCACUGCUGGUGCAUUGGUCAGCCCUGGUCUGUUUGGAUGCUGCCUCCCUGGCCUUGCUCCGCUCAUGCUUCUGCCCUUCUGUGGGAACCCCGUGUUGCAGUAGGAGGUGGAGCACAGGUGAGCCCAAGAUGUGAAUGUGUUCAGGUUGGGGGUAGGGUUUGCAGGCU